rnacentral:rRNA from 1 species
GCCAUCCUUGGGAUACCACCCUUGUAGUACUGGGACUCUAACCAUAGGCCAUGAAUCUGGUCUUGGGACACUGUCAGGUGGGCAGUUUGACUGGGGCGGUCGCCGCCCAAAAGGUAACGGAGGCGCUCAAAGGUUCUCUCAGUACGGUCGGAAAUCGUACGUAGAGUGUAAAGGCAAAAGAGAGCUUGAUUGCAAGACAUACAGG